rnacentral:lncRNA from 1 species
UUAUUAUUAAAAUAUAUAAUUAAAACCUGAUUUAUGCUUAAUUAAACUUUGUACAUGGUUCUUUAAAAGUGGUCUUUAAAGACCUGCUCCCAUGUAAUUUUCCACUCAGUGGAAAUUACGCCCAAUACAUACAAUAUAAUUUUUUACAUUUACGUUGAUUUUGGGGUCUUAAUUUUUGAACUUCGUCUUGGGCCCCAACAAUCACAAGACUGACCCCUCAACUCAAAAAUGGAUUCCACUCUUUACUCCAACAUGGAAAAAGAGACCCAUUAAUCCUUCAAAUUGCAGAACCCUCUUCACCAUCUCCACACAACUAUUUUGUAUAGUUUUCUUCAUCUCCUUCAAAUCCCUAUUUGCCCCUUCAAUCCUUCAAAUCUCUACAAAUUUUCGAUCACAUCCCUCCUUACAAUACACUGUCAUCAACUUUAGCGGGUCACCGAAAAAGUUCCUUUGGUACGCGCCGUGCAGUGGAUUCAACAACCAGCUAUAUGAAUUCAAGAACGCGAUCUACUGGCUGCGAUUUCGAAUCGAACAUUAAUCAUUCCUACUGUACUGGAUGGAGCCGAUUUUAAGCCAAGCCAGGUGAAGCUCAUGCCUCAGGCCCAAAAAUUUAAGGGCCUAAUUUUAUUUUUUUUAAGACCCUAAUUCCUAAUUCU